rnacentral:lncRNA from 1 species
AUUUUAUUUUUAACUUUCCUUCAUAUUUUUAAGUCUGUCUUUUACAAAUGGCAUAUAUCUGGACUAAAAUGUUUUUAUUUACCUAAUUUCAGAGUCUUAAUCCAGUCACAUUUAUUAUGGUUAUGAAUAUAUUUGUAUGUGGUCUUGCCAUUCUACUCAAUUUUUAAAAUUUUUUUGGUACCCACUGUACAUUUCUUCUUUUUGUUAGAUUUAUUAAGGAAUUUUUGUUUUGUUUCACUUUGCUUUUUAAAAAUAAAAAAAAAUGUGGCAUAUAUGCACAAUGGAAUUUUACUCAGCAAAAAAAGAGAAUAAAAUCAUGGCAUUUGCAGGUAAAUGGAUGGCACUGGAGAAGAUAAUGCUAAGUGAAGUUAGCCAAUCCCCCCAAAAAACAAAUACUGAAUGUUUUCUCUGAUAUAAGGAAGCUGAUUCAUAAUGGGCUAGGGAGGGGGAGUGUGAAAGGAAU